GAUGAAGAACGCAGCGAAAUGCGAUAAGUAGUGUGAAUUGCAGAAUUCAGUGAAUCAUCGAAUCUUUGAACGCACAUUGCGCCCGCCAGUAUUCUGGCGGGCAUGCCUGUUCGAGCGUCAUUUCAACCAUCAAGCCCCCGGCUUGUGUUGGGGACCUGCGGCUGCCGCAGGCCCUGAAAACCAGUGGCGGGCUCGCUAGUCACUCCGAGCGUAGUAAUACAUCUCGCUCAGGGCGUGCUGCGGGUUCCGGCCGUUAAAAAGCCUUAUUUACCCAAGGUUGACCUCGGAUCAGGUAGGAAUACCCGCUGAACUUAAGCAUAUCAAUAAGCGGAGGA
rnacentral:misc_RNA from 1 species